rnacentral:rRNA from 1 species
UACGAAGGGGGCUAGCGUUGCUCGGAUUGACUGGGCGUAAAGGGCGCGUAGGCGGUUCGUACAGUCAGACGUGAAAGCCCACGGCUCAACCGUGGAGGGUCAUUGGAAACUGGGAGACUUGAGUGCAGAAGAGGAAAGUGGAAUUCCAUGUGUAGCGGUGAAAUGCGUAGAGAUAUGGAGGAACACCAGUGGCGAAGGCGACUUUCUGGUCUGUAACUGACACUGAGGCGCGAAAGCGUGGGGAGCAAACAGG